rnacentral:rRNA from 1 species
AGCGAACGCUGGCUGCAGGCCUAACACAUGUAAGUCGAACGAACCUUUCGGGGUUAGUGGCGGACGGGCGAGUAACACGUGGGAAAGUGCCUUUAGGUUCGGAAUAACUCAGGGAAAAUUGUGCAAAUACCGAAUGUGCCCUUCGGGGGAAAGAUUUAUCGGCUUUAGAGCGGCCCGCGUCUGAUUAGCCAGUUGGUUGAGGUAAUGGCUCACCAAGGCGACGAUCAGUAGCUGGUCUGAGAGGAUGAUCAGCCACAUUGGGACUGAGACACGGCCCAAACUCCUACGGGAGGCAGCAGUUGGGAAUCUUGCGCAAUGGGCGAAAGGCUGACGCAGCCAUGCCGCGUGAAUGAUGAAGGUCUUAGGAUUGUAAAAUUCUUUCACCGGGGACGAUAAUGACGGUACCCUGAGAAGAAGCCCCGGCUAACUUCGUG